GGAGCUCAGAUACCAAGAUUAAUCAAUUUGUAUUAAAGUUGCUAGAUGAGAAGAAAGCAUAAUUCUUUUAUUAGUUAUGCUUUCAUAUGAAAAUGAAGAAUAUCAUAUCUGUGAUUAUGGAUAUUCUCCAUUAUCAGCAUAACAUAAACCCAUGCGUUGAUCAACAUCAAAUACCUUUCAUAUCUGAAUAUCUAAACUUUUCCACUAGACAAAAACAUGUCAUUGCCAUUAAAAAACUGAAGUGUUAGAAAAACAGAGCAGAGUUGUAGUCGCCAUGAGUCACUAUAAGAUGUAAUUUGAGGCAUGGAGCUGAAUUAUUAA
rnacentral:misc_RNA from 1 species